rnacentral:lncRNA from 1 species
GAGAAUUGAAAGUAAGUUUCAAUUCACAAUCAAUUUGAAAGAGUUCUAAUCGCCCACUGUCUCGCUAAAGGGAACCUAAUGGAUCAUACACCGUGUAAGGUAGAGAUUGAAGAAACAACGGAGAUGAGUAAGGAUAAUUAAAUGGUUUAAUUAUUUAUUUAUGCCUAGAAUUAAUUAAUAUGUUAAUUAAUCAAACGAAUAAGUUCGUUAUAGACCUAGGGUU